rnacentral:rRNA from 1 species
CGUUGGCGGCGUGGAUUAGGCAUGCAAGUCNAACGGGCCCGGCUUCGGCCGGGCCAGUGGCGGAAGGGUGAGUAAGGCGACGGCAACCAACCCCGAGGUUGGGUAUAGCCGCGGGAAACUGCGGGUAAUCCCCAGCGACGUGACGACGCCGACAUCGGCGUUUCACCAAAGGCGCGAGCCGCCUGGGACGGGCCGUCGUGGUAUUAGGUCGUUGGCGGGGUAACGGCCCACCAAGCCGAUGAUGCCUACCGGGCGUGCGAGCGUGGCCCGGCACACUGGGACUGAGACACUGCCCAGACUCUUACGGGAGGCUGCAGUCGAGAAUCUUCGGCAAUGGGCGCAAGCCUGACCGAGCGACGCCGCGUGGAGGAUGAAGGCCUUCGGGUUGUAAACUCCUGUCGAGGGGGAGGAAGGGGCGACCUUGACCGAUCCCUGGAGGAAGCACGGGCUAAGUUCGUGCCAGCAGCCGCGGUAAGACGAACCGUGCGAACGUUAUUCGGAAUCACUGGGCUUAAAGCGCGUGUAGGCGGAUGGGAGCGUCGGAACCUGAAAGCCCCCGGCUCAACCGGGGAAGUGGGGCCGAAACGACCCGUCUGGAGGGACGUAGGGGGAUCUGGA